GCGAGCCGUAUACAUUGAAAGGUGUACGUACGGUUCUGAGGAGGGGAUUUAGAAACCAAUUGGGUUGGAUCUGUGAAAAUGAAAACAGAUGAAAUUUAUAUCAGGCGCUAAAUCCCUAUCCUAC
rnacentral:ncRNA from 1 species